rnacentral:lncRNA from 10 species
CAACACGCCUGCUGUGAUGGUCGGGGAGUGUUCCCUCUAAUGGAGUCUGAGGGAAAGCUGAAACUAGAUUAUGGGCUCAUCCAAGAAAGCCCAAUUGUUCCUUGAAAUGAAGCAAACAACAAAGCAAUAAAAAAAAAAAAAGAGCAAUGUCCUAACACUUGAAAAGUACACAAAGAGAGUGCUAAUGUAUUCCUCUUCACAUCCAGGUGACCAUAUCCCCUCCCAUGGAAAAAGCUGUGAUAUGAUUGCUUCACAACUCCAGGAUAUUUUUUGUCUACUUCACAUGGUAAUUUGGUUAUUUAGUUUUCAACGGAAUCUUCCAGAAGUUUCUGAGUAUUCAUUUGGGCUCAUAAAAAUACAAUUACCCAGCCUGCUUCCCAGACGUACUGUAUCAGAGUCAGCCAGGAUGAAGCACCAGCCUCAGCAGGUUUAACCACUCUCCCAGGUGAUGCAGAUGAAUAGUCUCAGCGGAGGACCAAUGUUCUAGAACCCGUGGAAUGCGAAAAAGCGUCCAAAUGAGGGUCUGUUGAAGAGGUGUCAACUAGAGCUCAGUUGCAGCUGUUUAGACAAAGCAGCACAGCAAAAGCUGACCCUGUUUUAUUUAGGAAUCAGCUCAAUUAAAGGUUGAUGAAACAUUCGCCCCUACACCGCAAUCAAUAGGUGCAAUUCUGCAGCUGUCAAUGUUGUGUGGUAACUUGGCUCUGAGGCUGCCGACCCUCCAAGAUUUUCUUCCCAUUGUCUGUGGGGGGAGGUGGGAGUUGGAGAUUUCGCUUUCAAAGCUGUCACUACUUAGGCCCCCUUUACCCCAAAUCUAAGAUUUCGCAGGCCUUUUUAAGCUGCUUCAUUCAGAACAAUAGGAAGAUAUUUCUCCAAUUCUAUAUAAGGAACCUAAAUAUCUUCUAUAGCCAGACACCCAGAAGGGGUUGUUUUUUUUUGUCGUUCUUUUCUUUUCUUUUUGAGGGGCAGGGGAAGCAUAAGGACAAGACAGGGGAGUUCAAGGAAGGAGAGGAGAGAGAAAUAAACAAGGUGCACCUGGGAAUUUUAAAAAGCAGCAACGAGUGAGUUCUGAGGCCAGGAUAAGGCUGGAAUCUGCCCUCGGGAUGCCACCUACGAACAGGCCUGGACAUAGAGAGAAAACUGUUCAGCUGAAGCAAUGCUUGUCAAUACAAUGAUCACUGGGCUGUAAACUCAGUGCAGGCAAAUGCCCUACUUUUAAGCCCCUCUACUCAAGUAGGUGAACAGGGGGAGAUUGCAGACAGCCAAACAUAAAGAAAGCUAAAUGUAAAGGAUGUAGCAUGGUCCUGGCUCCGUCCCUCACCUGCCACCACUAAGAGAGCCUUAGCCUUAUACUCCCGCCUGAGGUGUUCAGAGCAACAGACUAUGACAUGAGACAAAGAGGGUGCUUCUCAGGGACAGAUAAGUCUGCAGUCAACAGGCUAAAGGAGCUCUUUUCCCCAAAUUCAACUUAAUCCCAGGCAUUUAAAUACUAUAGGCAAUUCAUGCUAGCUUACCCUUUGGGGAAAAUGUGGGAGAAAAAUUUAAAGACAUGAGUAUUGGUGAUAGAAUGGAGAGACAGAAACCUUUUGAAGUAAUUCUUUAAAGCUGUGUCCUUUCAGAAACACAAUAAAGAUGGACUCCUAGGUAUACCUAUGUGCCACACACAGGUAAAUAUAGGUAAAUAUCUAUCAACAUCUAUAUUUAUAGAUGUAAUCUUUUACCCAGAUAUACCCACGUUUACACAAUUAUGCAGUAGGUAAGUGAUAAUGGUGGUAUAGCAUUAAAGAACAGAGAAUCUCAGAAUUCAAAUUACAAAAGACUUUCAUCUAAUGCAACCCCUUCAAUUUACAGAGGAGGAAAUUGAGCCUAAGAGAAAUAAGAAGUACUUCUUAUUUCAAGGUCACACGCCACCUCUGAGCGACAGAGUCUGAGUUGGAACCCCCUCUCCUUGCUUCCUGCCUGGUGUUCAUCCCAAGGUGCCACAUGGACUCCAUCAUGAAAACAUGGGCUCUAAUACCUCCCUGUCAGUGCUAACGGUGAGUCACAAUGCAUCCAGAGGAGCUUCUCUAUAUGGUGUGCAGAAUUUCAAGUUGUCUGCUGUGUAUAAUGUGUCCAUUUAGCCAGAGUCUCUAGUAUUAAUUACCUCUGUGAGGUACAAUAUGGCAUCAUGCAGCUUUGGAAUCUGUACACUUCAUUAACCGUUUCCCCAUUAACCUUGACUGGAAUCACAUUCCUAUUCUAACUGGUAAGAUGUGUUCUAUUUGUAAG